GAAAUGCGGUAAGUAAUGUGAAUUGCAGAAUUCAGUGAAUCAUCGAAUCUUUGAACGCACAUUGCGCCCAUUAGUAUUCUAGUGGGCAUGCCUGUUCGAGCGUCAUUUCAACCCCUAAGCACAGCUUAUUGUUGGGACUCUACGGCUUCGUAGUUCCCCAAAGACAUUGGCGGAGUGGCAGCAGUCCUCUGAGCGUAGUAAUUCUUUAUCUCGCUUUUGUUAGGCGCUGCCCCCCCGGCCGUAAAACCCCCAAUUUUUUCUGGUUGACCUCGGAUCAGGUAGGAAUACCCGCUGAACUUAAGG
rnacentral:misc_RNA from 1 species